GCAGGUUUGGUUCUUCUGAAGGUGUUGCUUCCACAUUGUGAGGAAGUGCUGUUAAUACCCAAAAAGGCUCCACUCCUGCACACUUCUAUAUCGUAUUCAAGAGGUGAUCGUCCCCCCGUCCUCAGCCCUUGUGAGGCCGCACCUCGAGUGUUGUGUUCAGUGUUGUGCUCCUCACCACAAGAAAGACAGCAAGGCCCUGGUGCAUGUCCAGAAAAGGGCAACGAAGCUGUGGGGGGCCUGAGCCCAAGUCUUACGGGAAGCAGCUGAGGAUUCUUACAGAGCAAAUACAGAUUUUGGCUGCGGUGAGGGGCUCUGAGCUAAUACAGCGAGGCAGGACUGUGAUGCCGUGAAACCUUUCCAGGAUGUCUUGGGAUCCUCAGCCCAGAAGGCAGACAAUACAGGCACAGGACUAA